rnacentral:rRNA from 1 species
UUGACCUCGGAUCAGGUGGGAG